rnacentral:rRNA from 1 species
ACGCUGGCGGCAGGCCUAACACAUGCAAGUCGAGCGGUAGCACAGAGAGCUUGCUCUCGGGUGACGAGCGGCGGACGGGUGAGUAAUGUCUGGGAAACUGCCUGAUGGAGGGGGAUAACUACUGGAAACGGUAGCUAAUACCGCAUAACGUCGCAAGACCAAAGUGGGGGACCUUCGGGCCUCAUGCCAUCAGAUGUGCCCAGAUGGGAUUAGCUAGUAGGUGGGGUAACGGCUCACCUAGGCGACGAUCCCUAGCUGGUCUGAGAGGAUGACCAGCCACACUGGAACUGAGACACGGUCCAGACUCCUACGGGAGGCAGCAGUGGGGAAUAUUGCACAAUGGGCGCAAGCCUGAUGCAGCCAUGCCGCGUGUGUGAAGAAGGCCUUCGGGUUGUAAAGCACUUUCAGCGGGGAGGAAGGCGGUGAGGUUAAUAACCUCAUCGAUUGACGUUACCCGCAGAAGAAGCACCGGCUAACUCCGUGCCAGCAGCCGCGGUAAUACGGAGGGUGCAAGCGUUAAUCGGAAUUACUGGGCGUAAAGCGCACGCAGGCGGUCUGUCAAGUCGGAUGUGAAAUCCCCGGGCUCAACCUGGGAACUGCAUUCGAAACUGGCAGGCUAGAGUCUUGUAGAGGGGGGUAGAAUUCCAGGUGUAGCGGUGAAAUGCGUAGAGAUCUGGAGGAAUACCGGUGGCGAAGGCGGCCCCCUGGACAAAGACUGACGCUCAGGUGCGAAAAGCGUGGGGAGCAAACAGGAUUAGAUACCCUGGUAGUCCACGCCGUAAACGAUGUCGAUUUGGAGGUUGUGCCCUUGAGGCGUGGCUUUCGGAGCUAACGCGUUAAGUCGACCGCCUGGGGAGUACGGCCGCAAGGUUAAAACUCAAAUGAAUUGACGGGGGCCCGCACAAGCGGUGGAGCAUGUGGUUUAAUUCGAUGCAACGCGAAGAACCUUACCUGGUCUUGACAUCCACAGAACUUUCCAGAGAUGGAUUGGUGCCUUCGGGAACUGUGAGACAGGUGCUGCAUGGCUGUCGUCAGCUCGUGUUGUGAAAUGUUGGGUUAAGUCCCGCAACGAGCGCAACCCUUAUCCUUUGUUGCCAGCGGUUAGGCCGGGAACUCAAAGGAGACUGCCAGUGAUAAACUGGAGGAAGGUGGGGAUGACGUCAAGUCAUCAUGGCCCUUACGACCAGGGCUACACACGUGCUACAAUGGCAUAUACAAAGAGAAGCGACCUCGCGAGAGCAAGCGGACCUCAUAAAGUAUGUCGUAGUCCGGAUUGGAGUCUGCAACUCGACUCCAUGAAGUCGGAAUCGCUAGUAAUCGUAGAUCAGAAUGCUACGGUGAAUACGUUCCCGGGCCUUGUACACACCGCCCGUCACACCAUGGGAGUGGGUUGCAAAAGAAGUAGGUAGCUUAACCUUCGGGAGGGCGCUUACCACUUUGUGAUUCAUGACUGGGGU